rnacentral:rRNA from 1 species
GAUGAACGCUGGCGGCGUGCCUAACACAUGCAAGUCGAACGAACGCACGGGAACUUGGCGCCUCUGGUGUUAGCGGCGGAGGGGAGAGUAACACGUGGACAACCUACCUAUAGGACUGGGGUAACUCCGGGAAACCGUAGCUACUACCGAAUAAUUUUUUGAACCGGAGGGGGCCAACGUGAAAGACGGUCUUGGGGUCGGUUAAAGCCUGAUCAGCGCUGCAUUAGUUAGUUGGCAAGGUAACGGCUUACCAAGGCAACGAUGCAUAGCGGACCUGAGGGGGUGAUCGGCCACACUGGAACUGAGACACGGUCCAGACUCCGACGGGAGGCCGCAGUAGGGAAUCUUCCGGGAGGGGCGAAAGCGUGACAGAGCAACGCCGCGUGAGUGAUGAAGGUCUUAGGAUCGUAAAACUCUGUUAUUAGGGAAGAACAUAUGUGUAAGUAACUGUGCACAUCAUGACGGUACCUAAUCAGAAAGCCACGGCUAACUACGUG